rnacentral:rRNA from 1 species
UACGUAGGGUGCGAGCGUUAAUCGGAAUUACUGGGCGUAAAGCGUGCGCAGGCGGCUUUGCAAGACAGAUGUGAAAUCCCCGGGCUCAACCUGGGAACUGCAUUUGUGACUGCAAGGCUAGAGUACGGCAGAGGGGGAUGGAAUUCCGCGUGUAGCAGUGAAAUGCGUAGAGAUGUGGAGGAACACCGAUGGCGAAGGCAGCCCCCUGGGCCAAUACUGACGCUCAUGCACGAAAGCGUGGGGAGCAAACAGG